CGAGUGGCGCACGGGUGCGUAACGCGUAUACAAUCUGCCUUUAAGCGGGAAAUAGCCCAUGGAAACGUGGAUUAAUGUCCCAUAGUAUUAUGGAUUCACCUGGAUUUAUAAUUAAACAUUUAUGGCUUAAAGAUGAGUAUGCGUCCUAUUAGCUAGAUGGUAAGGUAACGGCUUACCAUGGCAACGAUAGGUAGGGGUCCUGAGAGGGAGAUCCCCCACACUGGUACUGAGACACGGACCAGACUCCUACGGGAGGCAGCAGUGAGGAAUAUUGGACAAUGGAGGCAACUCUGAUCCAGCCAUGCCGCGUGCAGGAAGACUGCCCUAUGGGUUGUAAACUGCUUUUAUACAGGAAGAACCACACCUACGUGUAGGUGCUUGACGGUACUGUAUGAAUAAGGAUCGGCUAACUCCGUGCCAGCAGCCGCGGUAAUACGGAGGAUCCAAGCGUUAUCCGGAAUCAUUGGGUUUAAAGGGUCCGUAGGCGGGACAAUAAGUCAGUGGUGAAAGUCUUCCGCUCAACGGGAGAAUUGCCAUUGAUACUGUUGUUCUUGAAUUAGUAUGAAGUGGUUGGAAUGAGUAGUGUAGCGGUGAAAUGCAUAGAUAUUACUCAGAACACCUAUUGCGAAGGCAGAUCACUAAUACUAUAUU
rnacentral:rRNA from 1 species